GCCCCCGUAGCUCAAUUGGAAAGAGCGACGGACUUCUAAUCCGUCGGUUGCAGGUUCGAGUCCUGCCGGGGGCGCCC
rnacentral:tRNA from 1 species